GUGACACUGUGGGGUGGGUGACACUGAGGAGGUGACACUGUGGGACGGUGACACCGUGGGGUGGGUGACAAUGGGAGGAGGUGGCACAGUGGGGAGGUGACUUGAUGGGGAGGUGACACUGGGAUGGUGACACUGUGGGGUGGGUGACACGGUGAGGAGGUGACGCAGUGGGGAGGUGACACCGGGGGACAGUGCCACCUCGGGGAGGUGACACCGUGCCGGUGACACAGAGGAGAUGGCCGAGGAGCCGCGGCACCGUCACCAUCACCUCCACCUGUCCCAGAGGCCGGGUGACACCUGGGGACACCGGUACCUGUCCCCAUGUCCCCUCUGUGUCCCCUGCCCGCGUCCCAUGUCCCCACCGAUGUCCCCUCUGUGUCCCCACCGAUGUCCCCUCUGUGUCCCCUGCCCGCGUCCCAUGUCCCCUCUGUGUCCCCACCGAUGUCCCCACCAAUGUCCCCUCUGUGUCCCCUGCCCUCAUCCCAUGUCCCCGCAGAUGUCCCCUCUGUGUCCCACCGAUGUCCCCUCUGUGUCCCCUGCCCCUGUCCCCCAGUCACCUCCCUGUCCCCAUGGCUGUGUCCCCACCGAUGUCCCCUCUGUGUCCCCUCUGUGUCCCCUCUGUGCCCCCACUGAUGUCCCCUCUGUGUCCCCACCAAUGUCCCCUCUGUGUCCCCUUCCUUCAUCCCAUGUCCCCACCGAUGUCCCCUCUGUGUCCCCAGCGAUGUCCCCUCUGUGUCCACCUACGUCCCCCUCCCCCCAUUCCCACAUCCCCUAUGUCCCCUCCCCAAUGUCCCCAAUGUCCCCAUGUCCCCCUCCCUCCUGUCCCCAUGUCCCCCAUAUCCCCAAUGUCCCCUCUCCAUGUCCCCACUGUCCCCAUGUCCCCCUAUGUCCCCCUCCCCCCGUCCCCAUGUCCCCCCAUAUCCCCUAUGUCCCCUCUCCAUGUCCCCAUGCCUCCAUACCUGUCCGUGUCCCCUUCCCAAUGUCCCAGUGUCCCCCCUAUGUCCCCUCCCCAAUGUCCCGAUGUCCCCCCAUGUCCCCGUCCCUAUGUCCCGAUGUCCCCUAUGUCCCCCUCCCAUAUCCCCUAUGUCCCCCGUGUCCCCCAUGUCCCCUUCCCUAUGUCCCCAUGUCCCCAUGUCCCUAUGUCCCCCACAUCCACCGUUCCAUGUCCCCUAUGUCCCCUGUGUCCCCCACGUCCCCAUGUCCCCACG
rnacentral:lncRNA from 7 species